UACGUAGGGGGCAAGCGUUGUCCGGAUUCAUUGGGCGUAAAGAGCUCGUAGGCGGUUCAGUAAGUCGGGUGUGAAAGCUCCGAGCUCAACUCGGAGAGGCCACCCGAUACUGCUGUGACUUGAGUCCAGUAGAGGAGCGUGGAACUCCUGGUGUAGCGGUGGAAUGCGCAGAUAUCAGGAAGAACACCUGCAGCGAAGGCGGCGCUCUGGGCUGGAACUGACGCUGAGGAGCGAAAGCAUGGGUAGCAAACAGGAUUAGAUACCCUGGUAGUCCAUGCCGUAGACGUUGGGCACUAGGUGUGGGGAGCCGUCAACGCUCUCUGUGCCGUAGCUAACGCAUUAAGUGCCCCGCCUGGGGAGUACGGCCGCAAGGCUAAA
rnacentral:rRNA from 1 species